AACAUAAAGAGAAAACCCAGCCAGCGAAAAGAAAUCGGCUCUCGAGUCGUCGGUCGUCGCCGUGUCGGUGUCGCUCGCCAUAUCCCCUUUUCCCCCUCCCUUCGUCUCCCGACUCCUGCGAUCCGCCCCACCUGAACCCUACUCCACGUCGCCUCGCCUCGCCGGUAAUCGACUUCCUUCUCUUGGCCCUUAUGCAAUCGGUUCGUACUCCAUGCUCGGAUUCUCCAUCUGAUCCCUAUAUACCAACUGCGCCGAUUGUAUUGUCUUAGGUUGGGUUGUGGCUGAGCCGAUCUGACCCGAUCGGGUGGGUCCUUGCGCCGCCGCUGCGUGGGCUCAUCUCGGUCCCCCGCCUGCUCGGCUCGAUCGGCCGGGGACGGCGGCGGCGGCGGCUAGAUCUGCGAUGGAGGGCAACAAGGACGACGCGGCCAAGUGCCUGCGCAUCGGCAAGGGCGCGCUCGAAGCCGGGGACCGCGCGCGCGCCAUCAAAUUUAUGUCCAAGGCAAAGCGCCUCGACCCCUCGCUGCCCAUCGAUGACCUGCUCACCUCCCUUCUCAACGCGCAAGACGACUCCCCGGCUUCCUCAUCAUCAUCGCCGCCUCCACCACCGCAAACUGCCGCAGCAGGGGCAUCGGAGGCAGCUGAGACUGAUGGGCUGAGAGAGAGGAAGCACAAGGGCAAGAAGAGGGAGGAGGAGGAGGAGGCGACUCCUGCUGCCAGGGAGUACACCGCGGAGCAGCUCGAGGUUGUGCGCCAGGUCAAGAAGCACACCAGGGACUACUACCAGAUCCUCGGCCUGGAAAAGGACUGCAGUGUCGAGGACGUGCGCAAGGCCUACCGGAAGCUCUCGCUCAAGGUGCACCCCGACAAGAACAAGGCCCCUGGCGCAGAGGACGCCUUCAAGGCCGUCUCCAAGGCCUUCCAGUGCCUGAGUGAUGCGGAGAGCCGCAAGCGCUACGACCUUGUUGGCUCGGAUGAGCCAGUAACACACCACAGGAGGGCCUCCACUGCCCGUGCAUACAAUGGGUUCUAUGAGGAUGACUUUGACCCAGAUGAGAUAUUCAGAAACUUCUUCUUUGGCGGUAUGGCGCCUGCAACCACCAGGCAGUUUGGACAGUUUGGAACUUUCCAUUUUAGGACUGGUGGGAUGCAUGCCCAUGCCCAUGCCCAACAAAACUCUGGUGGCUCAACUGUCAGGAUGCUUAUUCAGCUGUUGCCUGUCCUACUGCUGCUGUUGCUCAACUUCCUUCCAUCCUCUGAGCCUGUCUACUCGCUGUCCCGUUCAUACCCUUAUGAGCAUAAGUUCCAAACCCCACGUGGAGUUGCAUACUAUGUCAAGAUGUCUAAUUUCGAGGAACAGUAUCCAUACCAAAGCACUGAGCGAGCGACGCUGGAGCGGCAUGUUGAGAGGGAUUAUUACUCCAUAAUCACACAGAAUUGCAGGGUUGAGCUGCAGCGUCGCCAAUGGGGGCUGUCAUACCAGACACCACAUUGUGAUAUGCUUAAAAAUUUUGAGGCUGCAGCAAAGUAAUAACUCAUCCAAUUCUGUAAGGAGACUAUCACAGGCUGGCUCUCAGCACUGUAUCCAGGUCUGAGGAAAAACCAGAAAAGGCUAAGUCAUUCCAGCCGCCAAACCCACUGUGUUUGUGUGUUGACAGGCGGAGAGAGACUGCUGGCCACUCAUGUAAAGGCGCUGCCUUAGCCGCCAGCUUCAAGUUUGAGGGGACAUUUUAGUUUGGCUUAGUAGUAAAUUUUGUGGAAUAAGUGCCUUUGAUAACUAUACACCACUGUCCAGAUGCUCCCUCUUAGUAGUGGCAAGGAGUGCGUUAAGUAGUUACUUCAAAAAGAUAUGCAAGCUUCAUAGGGGUUGAUCACAUGCAAACCAGUGUAUGUAUAUGAAGUAUAUCUAUCUCAUUCUUUUAACUUUUUUGAAGUGAAGACUGUAGUUAAAACAGAAAUGCAACUAUAACACAAAUGUGAUAUUCAUUUUAUAUUA